GGAUGUUAGAGGAGGAAGAUGCUCUAUAAUCUGGAUGCUGAUUCUUCCUGAAGAAACAUAAAUCACAAGAAUAAGCUAAGCUAACGUCUAUUGAAUCAUGCUAAUGCUAAUCUUUAUGUUUCCAGCUGGUAAAGCAGCCGUUCUGGUGGUGAUGCAUCACACCUUCAAUCCUGAACAAGUGAUUCCUCCGAGCCGCAGAGUGGUGACAGACCGGAGAGUCCGACUGACUGUGGACUGUCUGUUCCACCAGAACAAUCUGCUCAGCUGUGAACUCAACAGGAGCAUGAAGGCUGACAUCAAGACGCUCUUCAAAACCUCAAAGUACUUGGAGAAACAAGUGGAAACUCUUCUGGAAGAAAAUGCUGCGCAAGACAAGAUAAUCGAGGAAAUCAAGACCAAAGUGGAAACUCUGCAGGAAGAAAAUGCUACGAAAGACGAGAGAAUCAAGGAACUUGAGACUGAAGUGGCAACGCUGAAGCAGCAAGUUCUUAUCAACUCCCGGGUCAAUCCUCCAGUCAGUGAAGAGGAAAAUGGUCCCGUGGACCAGCGGAGUGACACUUCCUUACCGUCUGGACACAGCACCGAGAAGGAGGCUGAUCCAAAGGAGAAGAAGAAGAAGAAGAAGGGCAGAAAAGCUAUCUUCACAAAUUGUCUAAAAGCAAUACAAACAAAGAUAUUCGUGAACGACAGGAGAGAAGGUCACCGGAGAGCUGCUCUCACCAUGGAGACAUCUCCACAGGCAGGUCCAAGUGGGUCAGAGGUCAUUCCACAGCGGAAGGAGCUGGAUAAAGACACAGAGAGCCUGAAAAGCCAAAAUGCUGAAGUACAAGCUGGACAUGCUCAAGAAAAAGAUUUGGAAAAACAAAAUGCCGAAUUCCUGAAAGAAUUGUCAGAGCAGACACAGAGAGGUGCUCUUCCUGUCAAAUCCCCAACCAGUGAUAUUUCAGUUCCUACAAGCAGUAAAGGAGAACCUGGAUCCAUGGACCAGUAGAACGAUACUGACAACAUGGCGAUGAUCGUCCUGUGAGACCAAAGCUGGAAGAAUCCCAACAUGUGGAUCAUGUGGAUGUGAAGGGAUCAAAUGAAUAUGGAAUCCUCUUCAACCUGAAGGGUGGAGCUGCUGGAGGGACUGAGUGAUGGAGCUGAGGCUGACGUUCAUGUCUGGGUCUGGAAUCUGGUCUGAAGCCCAGUUCAUACUGGAUCAGAAUGACCUCAGGACCUUUGGUGGUUUGUAAUAAUCUCAUCUGUGUUUUUAGUCCCGUCUGAAUGCACCAUGUCUGUAAUCAGGUAAUAAUCCCACCUCAAAUGAAAUCCAGAUUUGACCAAACUGACGUCCUCUGAUGAUACUGAUGUGGUCCAGUGGGAAACAUUCAUGGAAAUUUAAAUAUGUAAAUAAAUAAAAGCUCAAGCAUGGAUUCAAAACAAUGAUUUCAAUAUGUAUUUACAGUCUCUUUACAAUAAAAGUACAUGAGAAUGGUUGAAAAUGCUUAAAUGUAUUUUAUUACCUCCGCCAGGAGGUUAUGUAAUCACGUCGGUUUGUUGGUUUGUUGGUUGGUCUGUUAGCAAGAUGCCGGCAAAAGUAAUGGACGGAUUGCAAUGAAACUUUGUGGAAAGGUGGGUCUUGGGCUAACUUAG
ensembl:lncRNA